rnacentral:misc_RNA from 1 species
UUUCCGUAUGUGAACCUGCGGAAGGAUCAUUAACACGUUCCAAAAAACCUAAUCAACCAACCUGUGAACAUGUAUUCUGGCUGAAUAUAUUUAUACUACAUACAACACAAUGUUAUUGUGGUGCGUGCUAUGUAUAUAUAUUUCAUGACCCCCCCCAUAUAUAAGUUAUAUGGAGCUUAUUUCGCUCUAGAGUUUACUCGCUCUGGCUUAAUAAAGUCUCUCCAUAUAAUUUUAUAUAUAUUUUUAUUCACGCCCUAGUAAAUCAUUCUCUUUGUUGAGAGUGACGAAAUGUUUAAAUAUCAAUAUCUUAUACUUUUUGCUCGUCAAUGGAAUUCAAGUGUCGAUUAGCUUUUUUUUGUAAGACAAGAGAAAGCCCGACUGCCUAUGAAAUGUAGUCAAAAAUGUAUUCAAAUAUCUAAUUAAAAAAUAAGAGAACAACUCUUAGCAAUGGAUAUCUUGGUUCUC